CAGGAUGGGGCUCUCUGAUGUCACAAAGGUCUCUGGCCACCACCAUGUCCUGUGUCAUAAAGGACCCUGGCACAGAGCGCCCUUGUCACCCUGGCACCCCAACACCAGUGGGGAGAGCCAAGAAUGGGCCUGGAGCAGACCUGGCUUGGGGACUAUUUUGGUUUUGCAGGGUUUGAUUUUUGAUAAUUGGGGCCCCACAGAGGAGGCUGCUGUGAGAAGCUGCUGGAAGGUCCUACCAUGUCCAGCAGAGCCGGAUUUUGAAGAUGGAGAUGAUCUGGAGAUGGAGAAGCUGCUGGCCAAGGCUGGGCCAACGAGACUGGUGGGGAACCCCUCUGUUGUAAGAUGCACCAGAAGAAACACCAGGCACCAUCCCAACAGCUGGUGAAAGGAAGGCAGAUUUGUGCCUGGGGAAUUCAUCUGCUUCUGCAGUGCUUCUCUGGAGGAUGUGCAGCUGCUGUAAUUGGGAAAAUGUGUCAGAAAUUAGAUUAGGUUGGUUUCCAGUGGAAGACACCACCAAGGCUCACAGCCCUGGCAGGGAGGAAGACUAUUCUGCCACCUCGGUGCUGAAGACUUUCAGCACUUCUGCUGCCUCCAGCAGGGAUCCAAUGGAUUAGGCACAAAGAGAAAAAUACAUCCAUUGUGUUUGUAACCUUAAGGGGCUCUCUGAGGAUGAAAUCCUGGCAAAUCCACAAUCUGUGGCAGUGUAUCAUUGACAUAGUUCAUCAAAGAACAUUUAUUCAAUAAAAAUUCCUUCUUCUGUGCAGAA